GAUGAACGCUGGCGGCGUGCCUAAUACAUGCAAGUCGAACGCUGGAAAUCUAGCUUGCUAGAUUGAAGGAGUGGCGAACGGGUGAGUAAUACAUAAGCAACCUGCCCACGAAGACUGGGAUAAUCUCUGGAAACGGGGACUAAUACCGGAUAGGUAAUCGGAAGGCAUCUUCUGAUUAUUAAAGGUUAAAAACACUGGUGGAUGGGCUUAUGGCGCAUUAGUUAGUUGGUGAGGUAACGGCCCACCAAGACGAUGAUGCGUAGCCGGCCUGAGAGGGUGAACGGCCACAGUGGGACUGAGACACGGCCCAGACUCCUACGGGAGGCAGCAGUAGGGAAUUUUCGGCAAUGGGGGAAACCCUGACCGAGCAACGCCGCGUGAGUGAUGACGGCCUUCGGGUUGUAAAGCUCUGUUGUAAGGGAAGAACGGUAGAUAGAGAAUAUCUAAAUGACGGUACCUUACCAGAAAGCCACGGCUAACUACGUG
rnacentral:rRNA from 1 species